CCUACGGGAGGCAGCAGUGAGGAAUAUUAGUCAAUGGGCGGAAGCCUGAACCAGCCAUGCCGCGUGCAGGAAGACGGCUCUAUGAGUUGUAAACUGCUUUUGUACAAGGGUAAACCUGAAUACGUGUAUUCAGCUGAAAGUACUGUACGAAUAAGGAUCGGCUAACUCCGUUCCAGUAGCCGCGGUAAUACGGAGGAUCCAAGCGUUAUCCGGGUUGAUUGGGUUUAAAGGGUGCGUAGGCGGAUUGAUAAGUUAGAGGUGAAAUGUCCGAGCUUAAGUCGGGAACUGCCUCGAAUACUGUUGAUCUAGAGAGUAGAUGCGGUAGGCGGAAUGUAUGGUGUAGCGGUGAAAUGCUCAGAGAUCAUACAGAACACCGAUUGCGAAGGCAGCUUACCAAUCUAUAUCUGACGUUGAGGCACGAAAGCGUGGGGAGCAAACAGGAUUAGAUACCCUUGUAGUC
rnacentral:rRNA from 1 species